GUGAAUCAUCGAAUCUUUGAACGCACCUUGCGCUCCUUGGUAUUCCGAGGAGCAUGCCUGUUUGAGUGUCUUGAAAUCAUCAACCCCUUCUGUUUUUGCAGCAGGCUGGGUUGGACUUGGGGGCUCUGCCGCUGCAAAGCCGGCUCCCCUCAAAUGCAUCGGUUGGGCCUGUGGGUCGAACUCGACUGGGCGUUGUACCAUCCUCGCUCGACAGAGACGUUCCCCUUCUGUGCCCUCCCUCGACCUGCCCGUCUGGAGCGGCGGUCAACAUAUUUUGGAAUAGGACCUCAAAUCAGGUAGGACUACCCGCUGAACUUAAGCAUAUCAAUAAGCGGAGGA
rnacentral:misc_RNA from 1 species